rnacentral:ncRNA from 1 species
AUAAUCGCAAUGACCAAGGCUAGUAAAUAAAAAAUGAUGAUAGAGAGUGAAGUUCAUCGGCUGAAAGACUUCACCAUCCGCUUUUUUAUUGAACCUACCUUGAGAGCUUAUUGGCAAACCAAUACGUCUCCGGCGUUAACGGCAUGAGAUGAAUGUAAAAAAGUUUUUUACAUUUAAUAAAGGUGGUACCGCGAAUAACCCUUUCGUCCUUUUU